GUUUUGUAGAGGAGGACACCUCUGCAGAUAAUCUGGCUCCCUGUUAAAACCUCCUAAAUGUCUGGAUCAGAAAUAUGCUUGCACGGAGACACGGUCAAAGUGAAUGAUGGCUGCUUGGAAAGAGUCCAGGACAUCAGCAGACCCUCGUCCUCCACCUCCUCCAGACACACCACCACCUGAUGGAGACAAACAGAGCAAAGGUCCUCUGCCAGUGCUCCCUGAAGGACUUGAAGGACAGCAGGGAGGUCAGCAAGCCUUUAACCCCGGCCUCAGA